rnacentral:lncRNA from 10 species
GAAUUUUUAUAAGGAUUGCAUUAAAUCUAUAGAUCACUUUGGGUAGUAUGGACAUUUUCACAAUAUUAAUUCUUUCAAUUCAUGAGCAUGGUGUAUUUUUCAAUUUUUUAGUGCCUUCAAUUUAUUUAAUUAAUGUUUUAAGAGUUUUUAGUGAACAGAUCUUUUGCCUCUUUGAAUAAAUUUAUUUCUGUGUAUUUUAUUCUUUUUGAUGCUUUUGUAAAUGAGAUUACUAAUCUCAAUGCCUGUCUACACAUCUAUUCAAAUUCAACAGAUUUAGAGAUGAAACCAAAUACAUGUGAAAAUGCAGGAGAGGAAAGAAAUUCAAAGUUUUAUAGUUUUGUAAAAUACAGGUGCCCAAUUUAGCAUCCUGUGUCAUGCCCUGUGGUGACAAGCAUCGCAUUAAGCUUAAACUUAAGCUCAAAUUGACUUCUUAUUUGGGAUAACCCAAAGAUAGAGAAACUCAUCAUCCUGAUUUUACACAGGUGGAGACUGCUGCUUAGAAUAAAUGAAUAUACAGAAUCACAUGGCUGGUACAUGGUAACCUGGAACUUCUAGAACAAACCAUCUGAGCCUGAACUUGAAAUGAGCUGGGCAGCUUCUUACCAUCUGUCUAUGAAUAGUCCAGAGAUACCAGAGGGUGCCCUUUGAGCCUUUGGUGAAUAGGUGAAAACUUCAAAUGUUGAUACUCAGGAGGAAGGAGUUAGAUUGACCCAACACUUGAUGGAACACUUAUUUUUAACUUAAUGCAGCCAUAAAAGUGUUUAUAACACUUGGGGCUUUGAGUUCUUCAAUUAAGGAAGAAUUUCUAUAGAGUAUACUUUUCCCUAUAAAAUGUAUUUAGCCAUUGAUAACUCUAUGUAGCUCUGUGAAAUAUGUGCUUAUUAGACAGAUCAGGUGUUUUGGCUAUGAAUAAGAUGAAUAAUUGUGUUUGAAAUAAAAUAUAUUUAUAAAUAAUUUUGAUUCUGAAUAUUUAAAAACUAUUAACUACUGUUUGAAUAAGUCUUUGUCCAAAACAUAUAUAUAUAUACAUUUUAUAAAAUAUAUAGAAUAUAUGUAUAUAUAUAAAAUACAAACAUAGAUAAUCAUAUGUAAUAUAGAUGGUAAUAUAACUGUACCUUCUGUGGCUAUUAUGAGCUUCACUGGUCACCAGCUCUAGGAUAUGGGGCAUCAGGUACUCAAGAGUGGCAGCAAGAAACGUAAGCAUGGAAGAGUCCAGGCACUGGGCACAGCAGAUCUCCCACAAGAGGUGUCCAAACAUAUCAUGGAGAAUUGCAGCUCUGCUCUUGCUAAGAAGGACAAGAUGUUGGAGGACCCAAUGUAUUUGGGAGCUUGUAGUCUCAACUGUGCCCACCUGGAGUUCAUGGGGCUGAUAAUGAUGGCUGGAAGACACUCAAGAGGCAGAUGGUGGUAAUGUACACACCUCUGCCCACUCUGUGAACAUAGAAAACAUGUUUGCAUGCACUAUCACUGAGGAAAUGCUUGAAAUUAAAAGAAGUCAUUGUCUGUGAAGCUGCUUUGGAGAAUAUGACCAAGAUGUUGGCUAUAGCCAGGUGCUUGAGAAUCAAAUCUGUGGACUUUAAUAUCCACCUGGUAUAACAAAGUGGCAAAAAAAUAAAUUCCCCAAUAAUCCAACUGUUGUCUGAGAAAAGAAGAUUAUUCCUAUUUCCAAAUUCCUGGAGGCCAUUCAUUAUUUUCCAAUUACUAAUAUUUUUAUUCGGAGUGAGAAUAUUCUGCAUAGGCACAUAAGGUCUGUUUUAUUGUGGCAACUAAAAAGGAUUAUUGUUCACAUACCACUGUUUUCAACUUAUAAUUUUGUUUUUAAAUUCUACUUUUCUUUCACUAAGAUGUUUUUCUAUUAUCUCUAUAUAUACAUAUAUAUACACACACACAUAAAUUCAUAAACACACACACAUAUAUGUAUAUAUAAAUUAUUUGCAUUUAGCCUGUGCUUUUUAAAAUAAAUUCCAGUGGUUGACAUCUAGCUCACAUGUUGUCAGGCAUUUUCCAUUUUAGUAAUUUAAUUUUCAUCUAUAUUAUUUCAUUGAAAUACACUUGAAUCAAAUAUGAAACUUUAAUAUGAAAGAUUCCAUUGGCUUUUCUUGCAAAAACCUUUAAUAUGAAAGAUGCCAUUGGCUUUGCUUUAUUAUUAUAACUAUAUAUAGUGUGAUAACUUUAUAUAUAUAUAGCAUUAUAAAACUACUAUAUUUGUGUGUUACAUAUAAUUUUUACAACAACUCUAUUAAGUGGUUUAUUAUUCUGAUUUUACAGGUGAAGAGAGCUUAGACAAAAAUAGAAAAAAUGACAUUUCCAAAAUUACCUUCUUGUAGGAGGCAGUUUCAGGAGUUGAAGAUGCUUUUAACUAUUAUGCUGUCUCAAUAUCAG